UACAGAGGGGGCAAGCGUUAUUCGGAAUUAUUGGGCGUAAAGGGCGCGUAGGCGGCUUGGCAAGUGGAAGGUGAAAUCCCUCGGCUUAACCGAGGAACUGCCUUCCAGACUGUUAGGCUUGAGACCGGGAGAGGUGAGUGGAAUUCCCGGUGUAGCGGUGAAAUGCGCAGAUAUCGGGAAGAACACCCGUGGCUAAGGCGGCUCUCUAGUACGGUACUGACGCUGAGACGCGAAAGCGUGGGGAGCGAACAGG
rnacentral:rRNA from 1 species